rnacentral:rRNA from 1 species
GGAAGGAGCUUGCUCUUUCCGGAUGAGUUGCGAACGGGUGAGUAACGCGUAGGUAACCUGCCUGGUAGCGGGGGAUAACUAUUGGAAACGAUAGCUAAUACCGCAUAACAGUAGAUAUCGCAUGAUAGCUGCUUGAAAGGUGCAAUUGCACCACUACCAGAUGGACCUGCGUUGUAUUAGCUAGUUGGUGAGGUAACGGCUCACCAAGGCAACGAUACAUAGCCGACCUGAGAGGGUGAUCGGCCACACUGGGACUGAGACACGGCCCAGACUCCUACGGGAGGCAGCAGUAGGGAAUCUUCGGCAAUGGACGGAAGUCUGACCGAGC